rnacentral:rRNA from 1 species
AUUGAACGCUGGCGGCAUGCCUUACACAUGCAAGUCGAACGGUAACGCGGGGCAACCUGGCGACGAGCGGCGAACGGGUGAGUAAAGUAUCGGAACGUGCCCAAUAGUGGGGGAUAGCCCGGCGAAAGCCGGAUUAAUACCGCAUGAGACCUGAGGGUGAAAGCGGGGGACUCGCAAGAGCCUCGCGCUGUUGGAGCGGCCGAUAUCAGAUUAGGUAGUUGGUGGGGUAAAGGCCUACCAAGCCGACGAUCUGUAGCUGGUCUGAGAGGACGACCAGCCACACUGGGACUGAGACACGGCCCAGACUCCUACGGGAGGCAGCAGUGGGGAAUUUUGGACAAUGGGCGCAAGCCUGAUCCAGCCAUGCCGCGUGCGGGAAGAAGGCCUCGGUUGUAACGAC